GAUACAGACGAAACUGGAAAUGGUACAAUGGAUACAGAAGAAAUCGGAAAUAGUUCAGCCGAUAAAAGAUUGAGGGAUGAAAGAAUUGCUAUAGUUGUCCUUACCAUCGGAGGUGUUAUUCUGACCGUUUGCGUCAUUCAAAGAAUUUUUAAAGGAAAG